rnacentral:rRNA from 1 species
CACCAGCGCCACGAGUGGCAAUCAGUAUUAUUGGGCCUAAAGCGUUCGUAGCCGGAAAGAUACAUCUUUUGUGAAAUCACUGUGCUUAACACAGUGGCUGGCAGAGGACACGGUCUUUCUUGGGAAUGGGAGAGGUCAGAGGUACGCGAGGGGGACCGGUAAAAUGGUAUAAUCCUUUGCGGACCACCGAUGGCGAAGGCAUCUGACCAGAACAUGUCCGACGGUGAGGGACGAAAGCCAGGGGAGCGAACCGG